AUUUUGAUCUCAGCAUGUGCUGAUGGAGUAAUGAAAUAAAGACAACACUCUGCAAAUGGCUGGAUACAUUAAGUGAGAAGCAACUUGUAAAGCACCCAGGAAAAUAUCUGACACAUUGAAGAUGGCAGGAUCUGCCUCAGGGAUCUGCUCAAGCAACGUGGGAUCCCCACUUUUUCACUCUGCUGAAUACUCGACCAUAUUACAAGGCAACAACUGUUCUAAGCUGGAACUAGAGCAUGAACUGGAAUGAGGAAGGACCAGUAAGGCAAAGUGAAACACCCAAACCACCAGCAUGCUCCCAUCCAGAAUGGUACCUGUUCAGGCUUCAGACCCGGCGGGACCCAGGCAUACUCUUCCAAAGCACAGCCUGAGUCAUCAUCUGAGGUCGAGUUCCUCUGAAAGUCAAACAUGAGUUUGCUGAUGGUCUUCUCCAUCUCCAGCGGCAUCACUGUCACCAUGUGCUCCUCCUGGGGACACUUGCAGUGCAGGCAGAUCUUCCUGCAGGCAGUAAAGGUAGAAGGUGAGAAAGAGGAAAAAACCUUUUUUUUUUUCCAAGAGCCUGCCAGUCACUAGCCCCUGGAUCCCAAACCAUAAACACAUUCCUUGGCAAUGGGCAUCGGGCAAAGGCAUCGCGAGCAGUGUUCCAGAACAUGACUGUCUUUGCAGAGGGCGUGGUACACGCAUGUGAAAACAGCAUGAAAGGUCAGAGGCCACCAGGUAAGCAUGCUAAGGGUGUUUACAUGUGGACCCCAGCCUUCUCUUCUAAAUCAAUACCCCAAGAGGAAUGGUAAUAUAGUUUUUAUUUUACUAGGUAGACCACUGGAUAUGGCCCAUGACCACAAUUUCCUUGACUGCAAUAGCAAUUAAAUAUACAUAAUACAUAUGUUGACCUGAAGUGUUACUUGUAGAUUUAACAAAUACUGACAACAUACUGCUUUUAUAAAAGGUUCCUAAGCCCUGGAAAAUGGAGAAAAUGGUUUUAAAAAUGCAGGUAAAAUGUUCUUUAAGAAGAAGAGCAAACAUACAUAUUUUUUCUCAUGAAACGUAUCUGGCCCUAAGAUCUCAUAGGAAAGACAAUUUCACCUCCAUUAAAGAUCCCUGUAGGUUUGGAAUUCUAAUUAGAAACCCAAAUUUUCCCUAUGUUGGUGGGGUUUUUUAUAUACAAGAAGAUCAUGCAUGUGAAUUAUUUCAAAAGGUAGCAGCCAAAGAUAAAAAUCUCCCAAACUGAACAUUUCUCUUUUAAGGUUACCAUCUGUUCUCUUAUCCAUAGCUACAGAAAUGAUGAAGCAAUAAAUAUGUUGAUGUCAGCAACACAAAAGCAUUUCUAGCUUCCACCAAUAAAAUAAAAAGAGAGAAAAAAAGAAUAGAGGAGGAAAAUUUUAAGGAAAUAAGUUAUUCCAUGUUCACUCUUUUUAAAAUUAUUAGUUUCCGUAGCACCUUAUAAAGGUGAUAAAAGAGCCCAGAAUUUUAAUCCCCAGAUGUGCCUGAACGUUCUGAUAACAGCUUUGUGAAGAUACAAUGUACAAACCAUAAAACUCACCAUUUCAAAGUGUACAAUUCAUGGACUCUUAAUACAUUCGGAAUUGUGAAUCAUCACUAUCUAAUUUUCAUCCCCUCCCCAAAAGAAACCCCAGGAGCAUUGGCAGUUAUUUCCCAUAUCCCUCUGCCCCCAGGCUCUAACAACCACUAAUCUAUUUUCUGUCUCUAUGGUUUUGCCUAUUUUGGACAUUUCAUAUAAAUGCAAUCAUAUAAUAUGUGGUUCUUUUGAAGUUGGCUUCUUUCACACAGAAUGACUUUUCAAGGUUAAUCCAAGUUAUAGCAUGUAUCAAUCCUUCAUCCCCUUUUAUUGUUGAAUAAUAUGCCAUUGUAUAGAUAUACCACAUUUUCAUUGAUCAGUUGUGCACAUUUGGACUAUUUUCACCUAUGGCUUUUAUGAAUAAUGAUGCUCUGAUUACUUAUGUAUAAUUUUUUGUGUGGAUAUUUGUUUUGUUUUGUUUUGUUUUUUGAGACAGGUUCUCAUUGUUUCCCAGGAUGGAGUGCAGUGAUGCAAUCACGGCUCACAGCAGCCUUGACCUCCUGGGCUCAAGCGAUCCUCCUGUCUUAGCCUCCCAAGUAGCUGGGACCACACAGGGGCAUGCCACCACGCCUGGCUUUUUUUUUUUCUGAGACAGAGUCUCACUCUGUCGCCCAGGCUGGAGUGCAGUGGUGCCAUCUCAGCUCACUGCAACCUCUGGCCGCCCAGGUUCAAGCAAUUCUCCUGCCUUGGCCUCCUGAGUAGCUGGGACUACAGGCAUGCACCACCACGCCCAGCUAAUUUUUGUAUUUUUAGUAGAGACGGGGUUUCACCAUGUUGGCCAGGCUGGUCUUGAACUCCUGACCUCAUGAUCCACCCGCGUCAGCCUCCCAAAGUGCUGGGAUUACAGGCAUGAGCCACUGCCCUCAGUCGGAUAUAUGUUUUUAAUUUUUUUUUUUUUUUUUGAGAUGGAGUCUUGCUCUGUCGCCCAGACUGGAGUGCAGUGGCACGAUCUCGGCUCACUGCAAGCUCCACCUCCUGGGUUCGUGCCAUUCUCAUGCCUCAGCCUCCCGAGUAGCUGGGACUACAGGUGCCUGCCACCAUGCCUAGCUAAUUUUUUGUAUUUUUAGUAGAGACCGGGUUUCACCAUAUUAGCCAGGAUGGUCUUGAUCUCCUGACCUCGUGAUCCGCCUGCCUCGGCCUCCCAAAGUGCUAGGAUUACAGGCAUGAGCCACCACGCCUGGCCAAAGUUUUUAAUUCUUUUGGGUAUAUUCCUAGAAAUGAAAUUGCUAGGUCAUGUGGCAACUUUAGAUUUAACAUUUUGAGGAACUCCCAAAUUGUUUUCACAAAAUAUCUGUACCUUUGUACAUUCCCACCACUGAUGAAUGAGUGUUCCAUUUUCUCCAUAUUCUUGUCACAUUUGUUAUUGUCUGUCUUCUUUUAUUGUAGCUACUAUAGUGGGUAUAAAACAGUAUUUAAUUGUGGUUUUGAUUUGCAUUUCCCUAACGUCUAAUGAUGUUGAAUAUCUUUUUAUGUGCUUAUUAUGUAUCUUCUUAGAAUAGAGACAUGUCUAUACAAAAAAAAAAAA
rnacentral:lncRNA from 1 species